rnacentral:rRNA from 1 species
GAUGAACGCUGGCGGCGUGCCUAAUACAUGCAAGUCGAGCGAACGGACGAGAAGCUUGCUUUUCUGAUGUUAGCGGCGGACGGGUGAGUAACACGUGGAUAACCUACCUAUAAGACUGGGAUAACUUCGGGAAACCGGAGCUAAUACCGGAUAAUAUUUUGAACCGCAUGGUUCAAAAGUGAAAGACGGUCUUGCUGUCACUUAUAGAUGGAUCCGCGCUGCAUUAGCUAGUUGGUAAGGUAACGGCUUACCAAGGCAACGAUGCAUAGCCGACCUGAGAGGGUGAUCGGCCACACUGGAACUGAGACACGGUCCAGACUCCUACGGGAGGCAGCAGUAGGGAAUCUUCCGCAAUGGGCGAAAGCCUGACGGAGCAACGCCGCGUGAGUGAUGGAGGCCUUCGGAUCGUAAAACUCUGUUAUUAGGGAAGAACAUAUGUGUAAGUAACUGUGCACAUCUUGACGGUACCUAAUCAGAAAGCCACGGCUAACUACGUG